GGACGGUUAGCUCAGGGGGAGAGCACCUGCUUCACACGCAGGGGGUCGGCGGUUCAAUCCCGUCACCGUCCA
rnacentral:tRNA from 2 species